rnacentral:rRNA from 1 species
CCUACGGGGGGCAGCAGUGAGGAAUAUUGGACAAUGGGCGUAAGCCUGAACCAGCCAAGCCGCGUGAGGGAUGAAGGUUCUAUGGAUCGUAACCCUCUUUUAUAGGGGAAUAAAGUGCGGGACGUGUCCCGUUUUGUAUGUACCUUAUGAAUAAGGAUCGGCUAACUCCGUGCCAGCAGCCGCGGUAGUCCGGGGGAGCCGAGCUUUAUCCGGUUUUAUUGGGGUUAAGGGGUGCGUAGUCGGCCGUUUAAGGCAGCGGUGAACGUCUGUGGCUCAACCAUAGAAUUGCCGUUGAAACUGGGAGGCUUGAGUAUGUUUGAGGCAGGCGGAAUGCGUGGUGUAGCGGUGAAAUGCUUAGAUAUCACGCAGAACCCCGAUUGCGAAGGCAGCCUGCCAAGCCAUGACUGACGCUGAUGCACGAAAGCGUGGGGAUCAAACAGGAUUAGAUACCCGAGUAGUC